GCUCCUGAGUAGCUGGGAUUACAGGCGCCCUCCACCACGCCCGGCGAAUUUUUGUAUCUUUAGUAGAGACAGGGUUUCACCACGUUGGCCAGGUUGGUCUUGAACUCCUGACCUCAUGAUCCGCCUGCCUCGGCCUCCCAAAGUGUUGGGAUUACAGGUGUGAGCCACCGCACCCGGCCUCUGAGAAAUAUUUAGAUUGUACGCCUCAAAUGGGCAGGGACUGUGUCUUACACUUUUGUAUUUAUGCUACAGCUUACCUAAUACAGUGCCAGGCCUCGUUAAACACUUAUUGAUUGCUCAGACGAUAAAGAACUUGCUUUGGAAGGAGGAGAGGAUAGUCAUGUGCUUCUGAAUGUAUUGAACUUCUUGAAAUCUCUUUCCUCAUCAAUUUUAGCAGAGUUUCUAUUGAAACUCCUAGGGUGUGUUUAUGGAAGACAAACUGAGAUGUGCUGUCCCAGCCUUAGGCCCUGGCAGUACGCCUUGCCUUUUCACGGCACACCCACUACAGCCUUUCCCACACUGUGACACUGGAGCUGGUGAGUCAGAUGCAUGGCAUGGGAAGCCCUCUCUAGGAGGAUGCUGUGGCCACACAAGCGCUGGACGAACCGCUGGAGUUGAAGAUUAUUCUCUCUUCUAAAGAAAAUAGAAGAAUAUUAGGAGAAAAGACACUUGAAAAUGUUCACUCUUUUAUUCACAUUACAUCAUCUGUCUUGAAUAAUGGGUCUAUCUCUUUCCUGUUGCUCUGGCCCUGAAAAAAAAAUUAGCUUUUUAAGGCUGCUUUUGUUACGUGUGCAUUUUCUUGUAAUCCUGUCAUUCUGGGAUUUAAUAAUAAUAGUAUUAAUACCACCUACCAUUUGUUGGUUACUUACUGUGUUUUAGGCACUGUGCUAAACGCCUUCCAUGUAUUCAUCUCAUUAGUAAACAUUUCUGAAACUAUUCUUA
rnacentral:lncRNA from 1 species